rnacentral:rRNA from 1 species
UACGAAGGGGGCUAGCGUUGCUCGGAAUCACUGGGCGUAAAGCGCACGUAGGCGGCUUUUUAAGUCAGGGGUGAAAUCCUGGAGCUCAACUCCAGAACUGCCUUUGAUACUGAGAAGCUUGAGUCCGGGAGAGGUGAGUGGAACUGCGAGUGUAGAGGUGAAAUUCGUAGAUAUUCGCAAGAACACCAGUGGCGAAGGCGGCCCUCUGGCUCGACCCUGACGCUGAGGCGCGAAAGCGUGGGGAGCGAACGGGG